rnacentral:rRNA from 1 species
CAAAAUAAGGUCCCUAAAUAUAUACUAAGUGUAAAGCAAGAAUGUGAGAUUUCUUAGACAAUGAGGAGGUUGGCUUAGAAGCAGCCAUCCUUUAAAGAUAGCGUAACAGCUCACUCAUCUAGAGAUUUUGCGUCGAAAAUAAUUGGGGCUAAGUAUAUUACCGAAUUUUGAGGAUUCGUAGAAAAUUUAUUUUUUAUGAGUGGUAGGAGAGUGUUCCAAUCUGCAGUGAAGGAGGACCCGUGAGGGCUUCUGGAGCGUUUGGAAGUAAAAAUGUUGGCACAAGUAACCGCAAUGGGGUUGAGAACACCCCACGUCGAAAGAUCAAGGUUCCUUGGUAAUGAUAAUCAUCCAAGGGUUAGUCGGUCCUAAGGGGAUGGCGAAAGCCGUACUCGAUGGACAUAGGGUUAAUAUUCCUAACUUCUGUAUUUUGUGAUGGAAGGACGGAGUGUAGUAUAUAUGCAGAUUAUUGGAUUUCUGUUUGUGUCUUAAUUGUCCUCUAUAGGAAAAUCCGUAGAGUGCCUUAAA